UGCCGGGCGGCCCCCGCCUCCCCUCCCGGCCCGGCCCGGCCCGCUCCGCUCCGCUCCGCCGUGACGCUGCAGAUCGCGCUGCCGGCACCGCCGCCGCCCCGCAGCAUGGUGGGCGUGAAGGUGAUCGCGAACGACGCGGAGUUCCAGCCCGAGCUCGGCGCCGCCGGUUCCCGCCUGGCCGUGGUGAAGUUCACCAUGCGGGGAUGUGGCCCUUGUUUAAGGAUAGCUCCAGCUUUCAAUGCUCUGAGUAACAAAUACCCCCAGGCAACCUUCUUGGAAGUAGAUGUGCAUCAGUGCCAGGGAACAGCUGCUACCAAUAAUAUAUCAGCAACACCCACAUUUCUGUUUUUCCGAAACAAAGUGCGAAUCGACCAAUACCAGGGAGCAGAUGCUGUGGGGUUAGAAGAAAAAAUUAAACAGCACCUGGAGAAUGAUCCUGGAAACAGUGAAGAUACAGAUAUUCCCAAAGGAUAUAUGGAUUUAAUGCCAUUUAUCAAUAAAGCUGGCUGUGAAUGUCUUAAUGAGAGUGAUGAGCACGGAUUUGAUAAUUGUUUACGAAAAGACUCAACCUACUUGGAAUCAGACUGUGAUGAGCAGCUGCUUAUUACUGUAGCUUUUAGUCAACCUGUCAAGCUUUAUUCAAUGAAACUUCAGGGGCCAGAUAACGGGCAAGGUCCAAAGUACAUAAAAAUCUUCAUCAAUCUCCCUCGAUCGAUGGAUUUUGAAGAAGCAGAAAGAAGUGAACCAACUCAAGCCCUGGAGCUGACACCAGAUGAUAUUAAAGAAGAUGGUAUUGUCCAGCUUCGCUAUGUAAAAUUUCAGAAUGUUAACAGUGUAACUUUGUUUGUCCAGUCCAAUCAUGGUGAUGAAGAGACAACAAGAAUUACAUACUUCACGUUUAUUGGAACUCCAGUCCAAGCAACUAACAUGAAUGACUUCAAGCGAUGAUCCUGUCAGCUAUGAAACCUUAAUAUAGCGUUGGGCAUUAAUUAUAUUUAGGUAGUUGGCAAAAAAGGAGAGAGCCACUAGGACACAAGAGCCACUGGAAGGCCUUACUGCAAUCAAAGAGAUCUUCACUUUUAUCUACAACUCCUGGAUAAUUGCUUGACCAUAACCAGAGACUGUCAAUCUGUUUCAUUUCAUGCCAUUACCAAUAAAUCAUUGCUUUUGUUGAGA